AUGACCACCUUUAUAAUGAACAAACAAAACACAACUCGAGGCCAACCGAAUCAAGAAACUCCUGCGAGCUUGCCACUUAAUUAUUACUUGGCAGCCGCGGCAGCAGCAGCCCACAUAGCCCGCAGCUUCCCGGCGUGCUCCACCAUACUCUUCAUGGGCGGGGCCGCCUCCUUCGCCGCCUCCGUCUGCUCGAACUUCUCAGCCCAGGCGGCCAUGCGCGGAGUCCUGCUGGCGUCGAUGACCGUCACGCCGAACAUCUCGCGCAGCGCCUUGAACCAGGACAGGUUGCACCCGAGCGCAAGGUCGAGGUACCCGACGGAGUCGCCGGCGAAGAAGUCCUUCCCACCGGAGCACUGGGCGAGGGCGUCCUCCAUGAGCCCGACCACCGCGAGAGUGGCGUCGAGCCUCUCGGCUCUGUCCUCCUCCGUGGACGCGCGCAGGAUGCCUAUCCACGCGGGGAACAACUUGUCGUCGACGUAG
rnacentral:rRNA from 1 species